GAUGAACGCUGACAGAAUGCUUAACACAUGCAAGUCAACUUGAAUUUGGGUUUUUAACUUAGGUUUGGGUGGCGGACGGGUGAGUAACGCGUAAAGAACUCGCCUCACAGCUAGGGACAACAUUUGGAAACGAAUGCUAAUACCUAAUAUUAUGAUAAUAGGGCAUCCUAUAAUUAUGAAAGCUAUAAGCGCUGUGAGAGAGCUUUGCGUCCCAUUAGCUAGUUGGAGAGGUAACGGCUCACCAAGGCGAUGAUGGGUAGCCGGCCUGAGAGGGUGAUCGGCCACAAGGGGACUGAGACACGGCCCUUACUCCUACGGGAGGCAGCAGUGGGGAAUAUUGGACAAUGGACCGAGAGUCUGAUCCAGCAAUUCUGUGUGCACGAUGAAGUUUUUCGGAAUGUAAAGUGCUUUCAGUUGGGAAGAAACAAAUGACGGUACCAACAGAAGAAGUGACGGCUAAAUACGUG
rnacentral:rRNA from 1 species